rnacentral:rRNA from 1 species
UUAAGCGACUAAGCGUACACGGUGGAUGCCCUGGCAGUCAGAGGCGAUGAAGGACGUGCUAAUCUGCGAUAAGCGUCGGUAAGGUGAUAUGAACCGUUAUAACCGGCGAUUUCCGAAUGGGGAAACCCAGUGUGAUUCGUCACACUAUCAUUAACUGAAUCCAUAGGUUAAUGAGGCGAACCGGGGGAACUGAAACAUCUAAGUACCCCGAGGAAAAGAAAUCAACCGAGAUUCCCCCAGUAGCGGCGAGCGAACGGGGAGCAGCCCAGAGCCUGAAUCAGUGUGUGUGUUAGUGGAAGCGUCUGGAAAGGCGCGCGAUACAGGGUGACAGCCCCGUACACAAAAAUGCACAUGCUGUGAGCUCGAUGAGUAGGGCGGGACACGUGGUAUCCUGUCUGAAUAUGGGGGGACCAUCCUCCAAGGCUAAAUACUCCUGACUGACCGAUAGUGAACCAGUACCGUGAGGGAAAGGCGAAAAGAACCCCGGCGAGGGGAGUGAAAAAGAACCUGAAACCGUGUACGUACAAGCAGUGGGAGCCUCUUUAUGGGGUGACUGCGUACCUUUUGUAUAAUGGGUCAGCGACUUAUAUUCUGUAGCAAGGUUAACCGAAUAGGGGAGCCGAAGGGAAACCGAGUCUUAACUGGGCGUUAAGUUGCAGGGUAUAGACCCGAAACCCGGUGAUCUAGCCAUGGGCAGGUUGAAGGUUGGGUAACACUAACUGGAGGACCGAACCGACUAAUGUUGAAAAAUUAGCGGAUGACUUGUGGCUGGGGGUGAAAGGCCAAUCAAACCGGGAGAUAGCUGGUUCUCCCCGAAAGCUAUUUAGGUAGCGCCUCGUGAAUUCAUCUCCGGGGGUAGAGCACUGUUUCGGCAAGGGGGUCAUCCCGACUUACCAACCCGAUGCAAACUGCGAAUACCGGAGAAUGUUAUCACGGGAGACACACGGCGGGUGCUAACGUCCGUCGUGAAGAGGGAAACAACCCAGACCGCCAGCUAAGGUCCCAAAGUCAUGGUUAAGUGGGAAACGAUGUGGGAAGGCCCAGACAGCCAGGAUGUUGGCUUAGAAGCAGCCAUCAUUUAAAGAAAGCGUAAUAGCUCACUGGUCGAGUCGGCCUGCGCGGAAGAUGUAACGGGGCUAAACCAUGCACCGAAGCUGCGGCAGCGACACUAUGUGUUGUUGGGUAGGGGAGCGUUCUGUAAGCCUGCGAAGGUGUACUGUGAGGUAUGCUGGAGGUAUCAGAAGUGCGAAUGCUGACAUAAGUAACGAUAAAGCGGGUGAAAAGCCCGCUCGCCGGAAGACCAAGGGUUCCUGUCCAACGUUAAUCGGGGCAGGGUGAGUCGACCCCUAAGGCGAGGCCGAAAGGCGUAGUCGAUGGGAAACAGGUUAAUAUUCCUGUACUUGGUGUUACUGCGAAGGGGGGACGGAGAAGGCUAUGUUGGCCGGGCGACGGUUGUCCCGGUUUAAGCGUGUAGGCUGGUUUUCCAGGCAAAUCCGGAAAAUCAAGGCUGAGGCGUGAUGACGAGGCACUACGGUGCUGAAGCAACAAAUGCCCUGCUUCCAGGAAAAGCCUCUAAGCAUCAGGUAACAUCAAAUCGUACCCCAAACCGACACAGGUGGUCAGGUAGAGAAUACCAAGGCGCUUGAGAGAACUCGGGUGAAGGAACUAGGCAAAAUGGUGCCGUAACUUCGGGAGAAGGCACGCUGAUAUGUAGGUGAAGUCCCUCGCGGAUGGAGCUGAAAUCAGUCGAAGAUACCAGCUGGCUGCAACUGUUUAUUAAAAACACAGCACUGUGCAAACACGAAAGUGGACGUAUACGGUGUGACGCCUGCCCGGUGCCGGAAGGUUAAUUGAUGGGGUUAGCGGUAACGCGAAGCUCUUGAUCGAAGCCCCGGUAAACGGCGGCCGUAACUAUAACGGUCCUAAGGUAGCGAAAUUCCUUGUCGGGUAAGUUCCGACCUGCACGAAUGGCGUAAUGAUGGCCAGGCUGUCUCCACCCGAGACUCAGUGAAAUUGAACUCGCUGUGAAGAUGCAGUGUACCCGCGGCAAGACGGAAAGACCCCGUGAACCUUUACUAUAGCUUGACACUGAACAUUGAGCCUUGAUGUGUAGGAUAGGUGGGAGGCUUUGAAGUGUGGACGCCAGUCUGCAUGGAGCCGACCUUGAAAUACCACCCUUUAAUGUUUGAUGUUCUAACGUUGGCCCCUAAUCGGGGUUGCGGACAGUGUCUGGUGGGUAGUUUGACUGGGGCGGUCUCCUCCUAAAGAGUAACGGAGGAGCACGAAGGUUGGCUAAUCCUGGUCGGACAUCAGGAGGUUAGUGCAAUGGCAUAAGCCAGCUUGACUGCGAGCGUGACGGCGCGAGCAGGUGCGAAAGCAGGUCAUAGUGAUCCGGUGGUUCUGAAUGGAAGGGCCAUCGCUCAACGGAUAAAAGGUACUCCGGGGAUAACAGGCUGAUACCGCCCAAGAGUUCAUAUCGACGGCGGUGUUUGGCACCUCGAUGUCGGCUCAUCACAUCCUGGGGCUGAAGUAGGUCCCAAGGGUAUGGCUGUUCGCCAUUUAAAGUGGUACGCGAGCUGGGUUUAGAACGUCGUGAGACAGUUCGGUCCCUAUCUGCCGUGGGCGCUGGAGAACUGAGGGGGGCUGCUCCUAGUACGAGAGGACCGGAGUGGACGCAUCACUGGUGUUCGGGUUGUCAUGCCAAUGGCACUGCCCGGUAGCUAAAUGCGGAAGAGAUAAGUGCUGAAAGCAUCUAAGCACGAAACUUGCCCCGAGAUGAGUUCUCCCUGACUCCCUGAGAGUCCUGAAGGAACGUUGAAGACGACGACGUUGAUAGGCCGGGUGUGUAAGCGCAGCGAUGCGUUGAGCUAACCGGUACUAAUGAACCGUGAGGCUUAACCUU